rnacentral:rRNA from 1 species
GACGUAGGGCGCGAGCGUUGUCCGGCUUUAUUGGGCGUACAGAGCUCGUAGGCGGCUCGUCGCGUCGGCUGUGAAAACCUGCCGCUCAACGGUAGGCGUGCAGCUGAUACGGGCGGGCUAGAGUUCGGUAGGGGAGACUGGAAUUCCUGGUGUAGCGGUGAAAUGCGCAGAUAUCAGGAGGAACACCGGUGGCGAAGGCGGGUCUCUGGGCCGAUACUGACGCUGAGGAGCGAAAGCGUGGGGAGCGAACAGG